rnacentral:rRNA from 1 species
GCCAGACUCCUACGGGAGGCAGCAGUGGGGAAUAUUGCACAAUGGGGGAAACCCUGAUGCAGCGACGCCGCGUGAGUGAAGAAGCGCCUCGGCGCGUAAAGCUCUGUCAGCAGGAACGAUAAUGACGGUACCUGAAGAAGAAGCCCCGGCUAACUACGUGCCAGCAGCCGCGGUAAUACGUAGGUGGCAAGCGUUAUCCGGAUUUACUGGGUGUAAAGGGCGUGUAGGCGGGAAAGCAAGUCAGAUGUGAAAACCAUGGGCUCAACCUGUGGCCUGCAUUUGAAACUGUUUUUCUUGAGUACUGGAGAGGCAGACGGAAUUCCUAGUGUAGCGGUGAAAUGCGUAGAUAUUAGGAGGAACACCAGUGGCGAAGGCGGUCUGCUGGACAGCAACUGACGCUGAGGCGCGAAAGCGUGGGGAGCAAACAGGAUUAGAUACCCCAGUAGG